CAUCAAAAAACAAUUCCAAAUCAUCAAAAAAAAAAUAUAUCCCGGAUUCUAGAUUGCUGAUUCUAGUCAAAUGUAACUGCAAGCAGAAAAUUGUAGCUAAGGUUCCUGCCAGAUCGAAUAAACCACUGCCAACUAAGAGUUCACCUGGUCCAGCAUUAAAGAAGAAAGAAGAAUCAACUGACAGUUCAGAAAGCAAUUCAGAAGAUGAGGUAGGUGGAAUGCUUUUGAACUAUAAAUGCAUGGAAUUUUCUGAUAAUAAUCUAGCAUCUGGAAUGGUGCACAUGGUGGUAUUUGUUUUAAGUUGGUUGCCCCAUUGAUGUAAAUUUCUUGAAACAGGAAACUGCUAAAGCUGCUUUUUGAGCAUGUUUGUGCGACAUCCAACCUAGUUGAUCCAUUAGUCAUUUUUCACCUAGUGAGUUACUUCCAACUAAGCUUGUUUGUGCGACAUCCAACCUUCCAAUAGGUUGGGUCCACCAUAAGGAUAGUCUUGCAUAAAAAUCAGUCCCAUCUACUCAUUAGGUGGGUCAGACUAGCAACAAUGUUUAUUCAUUAAUAAAUAACAAAAUAUAAUUAUUUAUUUAUUUUCAAGGAUAUAAGCCACAAUAGCUUUGCUAAUUGGCUCCCACCACAGGUGGGGAAUUUGUCAAGUCUGCAACAACUGGAUAUAAGCUUCAAUAAUUUCAUUGGUUCGCUCCCACCUCAACUGGGGAAUUUAGAAAGUCUACAACAACUGAAAAUAAGCUGCAAUAACUUCAAUAAUUCACUCCCACUUGAACUGGGGAAGUUGGCGAGUCUGUAACUACUGUAACUUCUGUUUUUCUUUCUU